rnacentral:tRNA from 1 species
AGCCCCAAGGUGUUCACACAUUGGAUUGCAAACCCGAAGUUGCAGGGGCGACCCUGCUGGGGCUU